AGGGAAUCUUCGGCAAUGGACGGAAGUCUGACCGAGCAACGCCGCGUGAGUGAAGAAGGUUUUCGGAUCGUAAAGCUCUGUUGUAAGAGAAGAACGAGUGUGAGAGUGGAAAGUUCACACUGUGACGGUAUCUUACCAGAAAGGGACGGCUAACUACGUGCCAGCAGCCGCGGUAAUACGUAGGUCCCGAGCGUUGUCCGGAUUUAUUGGGCGUAAAGCGAGCGCAGGCGGUUAGAUAAGUCUGAAGUUAAAGGCUGUGGCUUGACCAUAGUACGCUUUGGAAACUGUUUAACUUGAGUGCAAGAGGGGAGAGUGGAAUUCCAUGUGUAGCGGUGAAAUGCGUAGAUAUAUGGAGGAACACCGGUGGCGAAAGCGGCUCUCUGGCUUGUAACUGACGCUGAGGCUCGAAAGCGUGGGGAGCAAACAGGAUUAGAUACCCUGGUAGUCCACGCCGUAAACGAUGAGUGCUAGGUGUUAGACCCUUUCCGGGGUUUAGUGCCGUAGCUAACGCAUUAAGCACUCCGCCUGGGGAGUACGACCGCAAGGUUG
rnacentral:rRNA from 1 species